UGCUGCGAAUGAAACUAUGUAGUUAUGAAAGUUCAUCGAUGAGAUCGAAGUGGCACCCUCCCUCGAUAGUCCUGUCUUGUUAUACUAUGACAGCACUAGUGUCAUUGCUCAAGCGAAGGAACCGAAGUCACAUCAGCAUACCAAAUACAUUCUGUGCUGCUACUACUUGAUCUGAGAGAUCAUAGAUUGAGGUGACAUCGAGC
rnacentral:lncRNA from 1 species